rnacentral:sRNA from 1 species
AUUGUUGAGUUUUAUUCUGUUUGCGUUUCUGUUUGUUUUUGUCAUGGAUCUGGCUGAUUGGAGGCUGUGAUGACCAAAAAAUACCUACCUAUUUUCUGAGGGAUUCCAGUCCUUCUGAUUGAUAGAAACCAAUGGAUCCUUCUGAGCCUGCCAAGAUCUUCAGAUUCUUAGUUUUGUAUUCGGCUUUUUCGAUUUGUCUUCGUAUAUUGCAUUCUUCUAAAAGCAAGCAAGAUUCGUAACAGUUGAUGGGAUGAUAACCUUUCACAGAAACUGUAUGUGUUGACCCAAAAUUCAGACUACAAUUAUCUGAUCAACUCAGACAUCUUGCUAAAGGGGGUUUCUUUUUUUCUGCUUUCAAAUCAAGAACAUUUUUUUUUGCCUAUCUUCUUUGCAAAGAACACUUUGAUUAGAUGUAAACUGUGCACAAUAAGCCGAUGCUCUGGAUGAGAAGAGGAAGGAAGCAUGGUAGUGUGUACAGAGAUGGAUUGAUUUUGUUGGUCUGCAUGUCUGCCUGCGGUGAUGCCUUCGGGCUUUGAUCUCGCGGGCCUGGAUUUGACCCACAC